rnacentral:rRNA from 1 species
CCGGGCCGCGUGCCUAUCAUGCAAGCUCGAGCGGACGAUUCAAAAGCUUGCUUUUGGAUCGUUAGCGGCGGACGGGUGAGUAACACGUGGGCAACCUGCCCUGUAGACGGGGAUAACACCGAGAAAUCGGUGCUAAUACCGGAUAACACGAAAGGUCGCAUGGUCUUUCGUUGAAAGACGGCGCAAGCUGUCGCUACAGGAUGGGCCCGCGGCGCAUUAGCUAGUUGGUGAGGUAACGGCUCACCAAGGCGACGAUGCGUAGCCGACCUGAGAGGGUGAUCGGCCACACUGGGACUGAGACACGGCCCAGACUCCUACGGGAGGCAGCAGUAGGGAAUCUUCCGCAAUGGACGAAAGUCUGACGGAGCAACGCCGCGUGAGCGAANAAGGCCUUCGGGUCGUAAAGCUCUGUUGUUAGGGAAGAACAAGUACCGCAGUCACUUNGCGGUACCUUGACAGAACCUAACNAAGAAACUACGGCUAACUACNUGCCGNCAAUCACGGUAUACAUANGUGAUCAANCGUUACCGAUUUUNUGCGCCCCCACCCC